GAUGAACGUUGGCGGUGUGCCUAAUACAUGCAAGUCGAACGGAGACUGUAGCAAUACUGUCUUAGUGGCGAACGGGUGAGUAACGCGUUGGUGAUCUGCCUCGAAGUGUGGAAUAACCUCCCGAAAGGGAAGCUAAUACCGCAUGGUUUCAUUUGGAUUAGAUGCCAGAUGAGCAAAGGCGAAAGUCGCUUCGGGAGGGGCUUGCGUCCCAUCAGCUAGUUGGUAGGGUAAUGGCCUACCAAGGCAAUGACGGGUAGGGGACCUGAGAGGGUGGCCCCCCACAAUGGAACUGAAACACGGUCCAUACACCUACGGGUGGCAGCAGUAGGGAAUAUUGGUUAAUGUGCGAAAGCGCGAACCAGCAACGCCGCGUGCACGAUGAAGGCCUUCGGGUUGUAAAGUGCUUUUUGAGGGGAGUGAGGAAGGACAGUACCCUCAGAAUAAGUCUCGGCCAACUACGUG
rnacentral:rRNA from 1 species